rnacentral:lncRNA from 1 species
CGGUCCCUUGACCCGGUCAACCCAUGUGCCAGGACCAUACUUAAGGUACGAGGUCGACCAUGUGUCACACGUGGCCGACCGACACCGAGUGCUCAAGUCAAAGGUUGACCCAAUUAACGAAGGUUAACCCAUGGUUAGGAAACGGCCUAAUCCAACCCUAAUUGCUAAACAACCCCCUAAUCCGGCCCAACAGCGAGGGCCCAUCAAGGUAAUAUAAAUAUCACGCAUUCCAAGGAAUAAGGUACGUCAUUAUCUACAGUAUUCCAGCCAGCCGAAUACGAUACCCCACUGAC